CAGAGGGUGCAAACGUUGUUCGGAAUUACUGGGCGUAAAGCGCGUGUAGGCGGCUUGGCAAGUCGGGUGUGAAAGCCCUGGGCUCAACCUAGGAAGUGCACUCGAAACUGCCUCGCUGGAGUGCCGGAGAGGAAAGCGGAAUUCUCGGUGUAGAGGUGAAAUUCGUAGAUAUCGAGAGGAACACCGGUGGCGAAGGCGGCUUUCUGGACGGUUACUGACGCUGAGACGCGAAAGCGUGGGGAGCAAACAGGAUUAGAUACCCUGGUAGUCCACGCCGUAAACGAUGGGUGCUAGGUGUCGCGGGCUUUGACUCCUGCGGUGCCGUAGCUAACGCAUUAAGCACCCGCCUGGGGAGUACGGCCGCAAGGCUA
rnacentral:rRNA from 1 species